UACGUAGGGUGCGAGCGUUGUCCGGAAUUAUUGGGCGUAAAGGGCUCGUAGGCGGUUUGUCGCGUCGGGAGUGAAAACCAGGUGCUUAACACCUGGCUUGCUUUCGAUACGGGCAGACUAGAGGUAUGCAGGGGAGAACGGAAUUCCUGGUGUAGCGGUGAAAUGCGCAGAUAUCGGGAGGAACACCGGUGGCGAAGGCGGUUCUCUGGGCCUUACCUGACGCUGAGGAGCGAAAGCGUGGGGAGCGAACAGG
rnacentral:rRNA from 1 species